GUGAGGUUUCGCCCAGCUCAGCUGCCAGCCUCACCCUUGCAUCCCUCUAGCUUUCUAUUCUUGGUUCAAUUAUUGUCAUGCAAAUAGGCUCCUUCCUAUGCCACCUUCCUGUCUCAUUAUGAUCUUUGUCUCAGAACUUCGGCCCAGGAAUUUCAAUGCCUCUUAGACCAAGCUGGGCACCGGGAAUGCUGCCUCCCCCUGCUGGCUUCCCUCUCUUCAGCCUGAUUUCCUCUGGAGAUACUCAAGGGCCGAGCCAAGAACUUGGCGCUAUGCCCAGGGAGAAGAAGAAAUGAUCCUGAACAAAUGGAAGGGACACUGUGAGAGGAGGAGGCUUCUCCCAAGGCACAGACAGGGAACCAGGCACCAGCCGAGGGCACGGUGGGGGCCCUGUUGUGGGUGCUGCCUCUGUGCCAGGUAGUGCGCCAAGCUCUGUGACUGCUUGACCAACAAAAUAUGGCGGAGGUGACACUGGGACACUUUCUGGCCCAGACCUUGAGAGACUGAGAGCUUCCUCCUCUUGACUUGGAGCCCUGAGCUGCCAAGUUAGAAGUCCACCCACCCUGUGGGAGAGACCACCUGAGACUACAUGGAGAGAAGACGUAAGAGCCAAGCCAUCUUGGACCUCUAGCCCAGCCCGGCCGCCAGCUAAAUAUUGCUGAGUGACCCUAUUAAUGCCACAUGGAGCAGAGGAAUCACCCAGCCAAGCUCCAUCUGUGUUCCUGCCCUCCAAAACUGUGAGAUAGAGUAAAACAGUUGUUGUUUUUAGCCA